AUGUGAUUAGAGGAUCACCAGGGGGUCCUUUGUCCCUCCUUGGGGGGAUACUCCCACUGGGUUUAAAUCUGGGACUUUCGGCCAUUUGACCUUAGAACUGAAGAAGCUUCUCGGAUGAGAGGUGAAACGUCUUCAAGCAACUCAAAGAAGUCCAGACGCUUUUCUUUGCAAACUCCUUUGACUACGAUGACCUGGAUGACUGAGAACCUUCACAGACGUAAGAGCAGAUGGCGUUGACAGUUGAAUUUUCAACAAUGUUGCAACUUUGUGUGGGAGCAGGAAGGGAAGAAAACACUAUCAGCAGCACCAGAAAGGAGGAAGACAGAGUGUGGGAACACAGGACCUGCACUUUUAACACUUUUAUUAGACCUGUGUCCAGUGGACCCGAACACCUUGGGCCUGUCCAGCCUUCGUCUGUCUUCGCUGGGGGUUCCGAGGGACCGCUUCAGCCAUUCGUCUUCACUGGAGGAGCCCGUCCAGCCAUCAGCGUCGCCUGCAGAAUAGCAACCAGUGCCUUGUGCGCUGGUCCUUAUUCCUCCAGGACUACAACAUUGACACCCGAUACAAAAAGGGCUUAGAAGACGUCAUGGCUGAUGUCCUCUCUAGGUCAUGAAUCAAACAUUUCAUUUGGGGUUAAAUGUUUGAUUUUUUGGUUGGGGGAAAUGUUAUGAUCCAAUGUUGUCAGUGUUUUGUUUUAUUCGUGACUCCUCCCCCCCAGAGGAUGGCUGUGGGUUUCUUCCCCUUUUCUCUCUUAGGAGGUGGACACCUGGGCGUGCCUGCUGGGUGGAGUCUCUUCCUGUCCUUGGAUUGGAUAAUUGGCUAAUCACCUGCAGUAUUUAACUACCAGAUGACAGCCACCUGGCCCCCUCUCUCCUAACCUCCACCAUCCAACAAAGAACCUGUGUUGUUUCGUUGCAGUGUAGAGUUUCUUAGACAAAGUGAUUUGCAAGUAUAACCUCGUGUGUGUGUGUGUGUGUGUGUGUGUGUGUGUACUUGUUUUCGUGACAUCUGAGGACAAUUUUAUGAUAACACACUCACAAAAUGAGGACGCUCGGAAAAAUGAGGACAUUUU
ensembl:lncRNA